UACAGAGGUCUCAAGCGUUGUUCGGAUUCAUUGGGCGUAAAGGGUGCGUAGGCGGCGCGGUAAGUCGGGUGUGAAAUCGUCGGGGCUUAACUCCGAAACUGCAUUCGAUACUGCCGUGCUUGAGGACUGGAGAGGAGACUGGAAUUUACGGUGUAGCGGUGAAAUGCGUAGAUAUCGAGAGGAACACCUGCGGCGAAGGCGGGUCUCUGGGCCGUAACUGACGCUGGAGGAGCGAAAGCAUGGGGAGCGAACAGG
rnacentral:rRNA from 1 species